CGCCGCCCCCCUUGUGUGGCGCUUCGCCUAUGUAUGGCGCAUGGGUAAAGCCACGGACCAGACUGGCUGGGGCAUAACCAACCCUAGCCUUCCUCUCUGUUUCGCCGUCCCCAUCUUUCUCCCCGUCUUCCUCUCCUUCGCCCGUCGCCGACUUCUUGCUGCCUCUCCCGCCGUCGAACCUCAGAUCCAGUCAGCUUCUAGGGUUCGAUCUUUGGUGUGGACGAUGCAUCUCGGUUCUUCGCCUGGUUGAUUGCGAUGGAUGAGGAUUAGGGUUAGGGUUGGCCCUUGGUCUUCGUUUGCGGCGUCGUCCUUGUCUUCUGUUUACAAGUGAUUGGGUCUGCUGUGGUUGAUUCGUGCGAGGGUGCCUGUCGACGGUCCUGGAGCAGUGCUGCAUACUGUUGAGUUCCAGAAGAGGGGUCUGCCACAUGCUCACAUAUUGAUUUGGCGGAUAGGAAGCCCAGGUUAAUUCAUGAGGAGAUGUCAUAUGAUGCUGUUUCAUUGGCUAGAGAGGCACCUGUUAUGUUCCAUAGUUUAAAUACUGAUCAGGUAGCCGCCUAUAAUAUGAUUGUUGAUUGCGUUCGAUCAGGAAAACCAGGUUUCUUCUUUGUUUCUGGGUAUGGAGGUACUGGGAAAACCUAUCUUUGGAGUUCAAUUUGUGCUUUACUUAGAGGUGAGAGAAAGAUAGUACUUACUGUUGCGACGUCGGGGAUUGCGUCCCUACUGUUGCCUGGUGGGAGAACUGCACAUUCUCAUUUUAAAAUACCUAUUAACAUCGAUGAUGAUAUGUUAUGUGAUAUUAAGAGAGGUUCUUGCCUUUGUAAACUGUUUGAGGCAACUUCUUUGGUUAUUUGGGAUGAGGCGCUUAUGACACAUAGGAAGUGUUGCGUGAUAUUCUUUCCGCACAUGAUGCAUCGCGUGCAGACCUCCCGUUUGGUGGACUGGUCAUGGUUGUAGGAGGGGAUCUUAGACAGAUAUUGCCAGUUAUUGAAGGGGGUACCAGGCCUCAGAUUAUUGAUGCAGCCAUCACAAAUUCUCCGCUAUGGUGCAAUGUUCAGACCCUGCCCCUUACAAUUAACAUGCGAUUGGCUGUGCCAAAUGCAAAUGCUAGGGUACAAGAAGCUGCUGCUUUGUUCAGUAGGUGGGUGCUAGAUCUUGGUGAGGGGAGACUGCCUGUUACGAAGCGAGGUGAUGAGUCAGGGGCUUCUUGGAUAGAAAUACCAGAUGAUCUGUUGGUUCAGGCCGAUGGGAAUCCAAUAUCUGCCAUCGUCUCUUCCAUUUACAUUGACUUUCUGGAUAAUUAUGUAAGACCUGACUAUUUGCGAGAGCGAUCCAUUCUAGCAACGACCAAUGACUUUGCCAAGGACAUAAAUGUUCAUGUUAUGAGUUUGGUUCCAACCGUUAGCAGAGAGUAUUUGAGCGCCGAUUCCAUAGAUAGCUCUGGAGAUUGUGUUCAAGAGGAAAACCUGUUUUAUCCUGUGGAGUAUUUGAAUACUAUAAAAAUCAUUAAUUUUCCCUGCCACAAGCUUACUCUUAUAAAAGGGGUUCCGAUUAUGCUGUUAAGAAAUCUGAGCCAGGCGAAUGGUCUUUGUAAUGGCACACGCCUUAUUGUAAAAGAUAUGGGCGAUCAUGUCAUUGAGGCUGUUAUAAUAACAGGGUCCCACAUAGGUGAUACCGUCUACAUCCCUAGAAUUGAAUUGUUGUCAAAGCAGUCAAAAGCAUCGUUUGUACUUCGACGCCGCCAGUUUCCAGUGUGUGUGUGCUAUGCUAUGACAAUCAAUAAAAGCCAGGGCCAGACGUUAUCUUUGGUUGGUGUAUAUCUUAAAAAACUCGUCUUCACCCAUGGCCAGCUGUAUGUAGCCGUGUCUCGUGUUACUUCGAGAGAUUCCUUGAAGAUCCUUAUAGUUAAUGAUGAUGGCACCUGUGGCUCCGAGACGAAAAAUGUUGUCUUCCCGGAGAUCUUUUGAUCUGCUGGGAUGGCGUAGUGCUACUGCGCGGUGAUUUGUAUUUUGUGCUGUGUAUGGUUGUUCUUUUGGUACUCUACAGGCCUAUUAUGAUCAUGCUUUGCUUCAGUACUUGUGUACAGAUAUAAGAUCUCUUAGAUCUAGGGUUUUCUUGAAUUGCACUUUAUUAUUGUCUUCUUUUACAUUACGAUGAUCUAUCUGUUAUCCGUACGUACCAUGAUUUAUGCCUUUUGGACAUUUUGCCUUCUGUUUUGCUGUGCUUUUGCUACGGCUUUGCUGCAGAUGUCGAUCACUGCUUUGGAUGAACUUGUCCCAGGAAUUAGCACUGUCAUGGUUCGUGUUUUCAUCUCGCGGAUGUGGCACCAUCGUGGGGCCACAGACGUUGGGCCCAUAAAGCACACCGACUUAGUCUUCCUAGAUGCUGAGGGUAGCCACAUAUAUGCUGAAAUAUCUGAGAAGCAGGUGUCAAAGUUCAUGGGUAAAAUCGUCGAAGGUUGUGCGUAUGAUGUAUACUAGUUCUUGGUGUUUCCAAAUAAAAAUUACUUCAAGCCCGUCGAUUCGACGAACAUGAUCAGAUUUAAUAGGUUCACCACUGUUGAACCAACCGUUGAGACGGACCUUGAAUUCCCAUUCUACACUUAUUCGCUCACUAAACUGGCCCACCUGCCUGCGCCCCUUGAGAGGCCUCCUUUCUUUACAGAUGUGCUUGGCCUUAUCGUUGCCGUGUCAGACACCAUGCAGUAUCACAGUUCAAGCAGGGCCCAACCUUUUGUGAAACGAAUUGUCACCAUUCGGGAUCUCAGUGGGUAUCAGAUAAAUGUUGUGCUUUGGGGCGAGCAUGCAACGGUGUUUGAUGCAGAGGAGGUCAUCACAAUUGGUCUGACCGGACCAGUCUUCGUUCUGUUUGUUGGCACUCUGGUCAAAAACUAUGAAGGUCGAAGGGGGGUUAGCGGAAGUGCAGCGUGUCGGUGGUACAUUAAUGAUGACAUUACUGAAAUAUCAUAUUUUCAUGAGAGGUUACAGGGCAAGUUCUCUCCUGUAGAAAAGAUACGUUUACCAGGACAGACGAUGGCUCAAGUGGCUGCACAUGUUGAAAUGGAAACUAAGACGGUGGCAGAGCUGCUGGCUUUAGAUAUAUACAAGCAUAAGGAAGCCAGUUUCUUCACCUCGAUUACAUUGGCUAGGCUCAGUCCUGGGCAGCGCUGGUGGUUCAUGUGCUGUGAGAAAUGUCAUAAAACUUCCCAGCCAUAUGGGUCUGUCUACAGGUGCAAUGAUACCAAAUGUUCAUGCACCGAUGCACGGCCAAGGUAUCGGAUCUGUUUCGUGGGGGCUGAUGAUACAGGUGAGGCUGAGUUCGUCUUAUUUGAUAGAGCCGGCAGGGAUGCUGUUGAUAAAUCUCUGAUCACCCUGCUACGCGAGGGGAAUUCUAACCGGAUGCCUCUUAACGAGGUUGUUCAAAUGGCCCGUGGGACUGAUGCCCUUCCCCGUGAGCUUUCUACAUUGAUUGGCCAAAAGUAUCGAUUUGUGGUGUCUAUCUCGUCAAAGAGUUUCCAACCAGAGGCAGAAGAGACCUCAUACCAGGUCAACCGUAUUGAUGUUCCAGUGGAAAAGGGGUCCCGUUCCACAGUUGAGUAUCGCAAGGCUGAUUCUUCUGAACAGUUUGAAAGUGAUACAGGCUCACUGGCCCUUGCUGGUGUUGCUGACUCUACUGUGCUUCCCACUGAGUCCAUCCCAUCCUUAACCACCACGGAUCUCCAUUCGCUUGUCCAGUCAAAUGAGGCUACAACUCCUAAAGCUCAACCUGGCCGUGGUCGGGCUUCUCCGGCAUCUGUCAACAAAGUAUUGCAGUACCAGUGUAAAGCAGAUGGAAAAGAACAAGGCGCCAAAGAAUGUUGUGCAUGUGCCUCUGCUUCCUCCAGCUACUAAUGAGGUCACCGAUCCAGUUGUUGAUCCUAAAACACAGGAUGUUGAUGGGACUACUUCAAGGGGUGUUGAUGCAGAGGAGGGAGGCGAGGAUCCCAGCGCCAGGAAAAGGCUUAAGCUCUAGAGCAGCUGAUGCUGAUUGAUCUACUCUUUUGGUAUAUAUGCCUUGUCCUUAUUGUAACACCCCGGAUGUAACUUUCCCAAUUUGUACUCCAACUCUUGCCGUUUCCGGCGUUAAGUUAUUUUAUUUUUCUCGGGUUCGGGUCUU